UAGUAACGGCGAGUGAAGCGGCAACAGCUCAAAUUUGAAAGCUGGCCUUCGGGUCCGCGUUGUAAUUUGCAGAGGAAGCUUUGGGCGCGGCGCUGUCUGAGUCCCCUGGAACGGGGCGCCAAAGAGGGUGAGAGCCCCGUAUAGACGGAUGCCUAGCCUGUGUAAAGCUCCUUCGACGAGUCGAGUAGUUUGGGAAUGCUGCUCAAAAUGGGAGGUAAAUUUCUUCUAAAGCUAAAUACCGGCCAGAGACCGAUAGCGCACAAGUAGAGUGAUCGAAAGAUGAAAAGCACUUUGAAAAGAGGGUUAAAUAGCACGUGAAAUUGUUGAAAGGGAAGCGCUUGUGACCAGACUUGCGCCGGGCUGAUCAUCCGGUGUUCUCACCGGUGCACUCUGCCCGGCUCAGGCCAGCAUCGGUUCUCGCGGGGGGAUAAAGGCUUAGGGAAUGUAGCUCCUCCGGGAGUGUUAUAGCCCUCUGCGUAAUACCCUCGCGGGGACCGAGGUCUGCGCUCU
rnacentral:rRNA from 1 species